rnacentral:rRNA from 1 species
AGUGAACGCUGGCGGUAGGCCUAACACAUACAAGUCGAACGGCAGCACAGGAGAGCUUGCUCUCUGGGUGGCGAGUGGCGGACGGGUGAGGAAUACAUCGGAAUCUACCUUUUCGUGGGUGAUAACGUAGGGAAACUUACGCUAAUACCGCAUACGACCUACGGGUGAAAGUGGGGGACCGCAAGGCCUCACGCGAUUAGAUGAGCCGAUGUCCGAUUAGCUAGUUGGCGGGGUAAUGGCCCACCAAGGCGACGAUCGGUAGCUGGUCUGAGAGGAUGAUCAGCCACACUGGAACUGAGACACGGUCCAGACUCCUACGGGAGGCAGCAGUGGGGAAUAUUGGACAAUGGGCGCAAGCCUGAUCCAGCCAUACCGCGUGGGUGAAGAAGGCCUUCGGGUUGUAAAGCCCUUUUGUUGGGAAAGAAAUCCUGUCGAUUAAUACUCGGUGGGGAUGACGGUACCCAAAGAGUAAGCACCGGCUAACUUCGUGCCAGCAGCCGCAGUAACAC